AAGCAACACUCUGUGGCAGAUGAUCGAAGCUGUCUGACACAAUUUGAGCUUGCGAUAGCAAGAAAGUCUAACCUAUUCCGGUGUUCUCUCUCCAUGAGAUGAGCCGUUAUAUAGACUUAAACAAC